AAAUAUAAUUGCAGUAUAUAAUAUAUGCUUAUAAACAAAAAAUAAUAAUAAUAAUAAUAAUUUAAAAUAAUUUAAAGCGAUAAGGUGAGGUUGGGCUUAUCUCUCUCAUUCGGGACAAAUCCAAACAUGUUGCCCAUUUGAAGCUAAACUCUUAUUCAUUAGGUAAAAUAGGCUUUGGAUUUCACACGUGUUUCAGUAUCUAUGCAAAAAAAAAAUCAUCAUGAGCAAAAAUAUGCCAAAGUGGACCGCUGUUCGCGCCGCAUGGCGUGUGAACGACUGCUGUUUCCAAUGAAUAUGUGCGCGUGAGGCACCAGCGCGAUCAAAGUCACAGUUCACAGUCUGAGGCAGAGCAGGAGGGUAAGCUGCCAGAGAAAAGAUUCAGGAAGCCAGUGUAAGUGUGUUCUGUCUUGUUUUUGUUAUGUUUCUACAGUAAUAAGAAGGUUAUUUCCCGUAGCAUUCAAAAAUAGACAAGAGAUGCUUGUACUAUGUAUAUUUUGCAAUUUUGGGAUUGCAAUAACCAUAAUGGUUACUUAACAGCCAUCGUUUUGGGGACUCUGAUGAGAGUGAAGAAGAGCCAGAUGCCACGACCUUCCAACUUGCCUGGUGUGUCAGUUGAAGCCUCAUGCCCAAGCCAUUUGCACUGGAAGAGUAAGGAAUAAUCUCUUAACAUCGAAAUAACAAAUCUUAAUAUUAAUAUUAGAGAUAUGGUUAACAUUCUUAGUGCUAAAGAUAUUCCCCUCUCCUUGUCUCCAUUCCUUCAGCUCCAUCAUCUUGCCGAGUGCCAGGCAACAGAGUAACUACUCCUCAAAACUGUCUAGGUAAACACUGUUCUCCUAAAUAAUAUUGAAUACAGUGGCCCCAUUUAUAUUAACACAGCAAUGGUCACUCUGUUUCAAAUCAAUGGACUGCAUCUGCAUUACCAUCUCAGAUUUUCAAUGUCAAUCCAUUCAUGGGGUUGAAGUAGGUAGUUUAUACCAAAUUAAUGUUCAGCAUGACAAGAGAUUUUUUUUGUUUGCCAUUGUUUGGCCCUGUAGCUUGCAUGCCUCACAGCCUACCAUGGUUAACAGAUCACAACCAUUUAAUACCAAUUUCUCUCCAUUAGCACCAGACUAUGGGGCAGGACAGCAACUCCCAACACCCGCAUUUAACAUGCGGAGAGUUACUCAAGGAAUGGCAGUCCCUCCACAACUCCCUCCACCCCCCGCACCAGCCCUCAACAUGCGGCCAACAGAGGAAGCCUGUUCAAGCCUGACCUACAGACCAACAUGGCGAGGGGGAAGAAUGGCCGAUACCAUUCCCUGCUCUGCGGCUGAGGUCCACAUACUUAGCCUGCUGGAAACCAUUAAACAGCAACAAGACCAGCUUGUGGCAAAGGUGAACUACCUCAGCAGCAGGCUGAACAGCACCCCGGGGCCAGAUGUUGAGAUGCCUGAAAAUAUCCACAGCGUACCCCCAGGAUCCUCCAAAUGA
ensembl:lncRNA